GAAAAGCAAUGUGGAGCAAGCUAUUCUUGAGAUACAGAAGAAAUUUGAAACUGUAAGUAUAAACCCCAACCUUUUCACUAAGACUCGGAGAAUUACCUUUAAAGUUGUGAAAUUUUGGGCUGGGGUUGUGGCUCAGCAGUAGAGUACUCACCUAGCACAUGCAAGGCUCUGGGUUCAAUCCUCAGCACCACAUAAAAACAAAUAAAAUAAAGGUAUUUUAUUUAUUUGUUUUUAUGUAAAAUACAAAAUAGGGCUGGGGAUGUGGCUACAACUAAAAACUUUAAAAAAAAAGUUGUGAAAUUUCAGCAAAGACCAGAGGUCUGCACAAGCCUUUUAGAAAAGAACUUGGGUAUAGGCUAUUUUCCUUCCCCAGGGUUCCUUGGUAGGAUGUAGGGCCCAGGACCCUGCUCCAGAGUAUAGUUAUCCUUACCCUGUGAGGUACCCUGAAAGGGACAUGACUUUGUCCAGUGGUUUGUUCUCACAUUUUAUUGUGCACUCUGACUUAUAUUCCAUCACUCUCUUUUUCUCACUGCUUUUCCCCAGAGACAAGCAGAGUUUAUAGAAAUGAAAUCCAACCUGGAGAACCUGGAAGUUUUAGUUGCCCAGCAGAGUAAGGACUUCCAGCAACUGUGUGAACAGCUACACAAGCUGAAUGUGCCCAGUGUCCUAGCAGAACUGAAGAGAUUGAUCUUGGUGCCUCAGAUACCUGAGCAUGUGAAAGACAACACUUCUCAGACUUCACCAAGUCUGACCCAGAGCCUCAAUUUCACCAGGCAGGAAAAAUAUGCCUCUGAGGAGCUGGUUAUGUGGCAGGCCCAGGCUCACACUGCUGCAGGAAACCCAAGUACAGGCUCCCUAGUGACUAGGGAAUUUGGUAUCAUGGGUAAGGGAGCAAAGGGUGAUGCUCUCCAGAAAGAGGUUGCACUGCCAGCCCUUUGGCCUUGUAAAGGAAAUGAGCAUGUAAAGGACAAGUCAGUACAGACUAAUUGCAAAAAUUGGGCAAUUACUAAAGCAGAUUCCAAGAACCAUGGCUCCAGAAUCCCAGGCCAUAAAGUUCUUGGUGACAGUGACCUGCUUUACCAAGGAACUUCACAGCUCAUAUCCCUGGAUUUACACAACUUUGCAAUGAGCAUUAAGAAUCUCUGCCCAGAAUAUCAAGCAAAAAGCAUAUUCUCUUGUGUCCCUAGUGAACAGUUGGAAACUGAACAGAAAGGCAGGACUGUAGAAAGAGGGAGGAAAUGCAAAAGGCAGCCGACCAGGAAAACCCAGAGAGGCAGGUUUGCAAGGAAGAGAGAACAAACCCCAAGUAAGACCUGUAUUUUCAAUUAUAAAUAUCAGAAUCCCCAGUCUCCAGUUUCUGAUGAACGAAUUCCCCCUACGGAGCAGCAGGAACCCCUUGCUCAGCCUCUGCAUCUGCGGGGUCCCAGAAGCUCCACAAAAUCAGUCUGCCAUGUUCUGGGAGGAACUGUCAAGUCCAGUAAAAUAGCACCAGCAGUGCAAGGGAGCCUCUCAAAGUUUCCUGAAUGUUCUUCCCAAAACAAAGAUCUGCAUUCCAGUAGCUCCCAGGGGGACCACCAAAUGCGCUGGUUCAGUGACCUCAACCUUGGAAAUUCAGAGUCUCCUCCAUGCAAGGAGACAGGGAAGAAUUUGCUCUAUGACCUGGGUUUUGAUAGCAGUGAUGAUGACUUCUGACCAUCCAACAGUGACUUCAGUUGGUUUAUUGAGCUCAGGUAGAAAGACAAAUUAGAGAAUUCUUGACUGGUUGAUAGGGUGAGAGGCCUUGCUAGGAAGGGCUCAGUGGGAGGCAGGGGUAGGAUCAACUCUCUGGGUAUCAGAUGUUGCCUAUGACAAGGGCAUAACAGACAAAUGCAUCCUUAAUUAUUGGAAAGAAAUUUGGAGACAGUGAUCUCCAGUGGUGAUAAAUAUGAAAUAACGGCCUGGUGGUGGGGGCAUUGGGAGAGAAGGUACUUGGUGAAAGUGGGGAGAGCUUCCUUGAAUAUUGUGUAGCAGAGGGGCUCUCAUGAAACUGGUACUGUGGCAACAUGACUCCCAAACAUCAUAUUUAUCAUCUUCAAAAUAUUUCCUGCACAUGAUCAGUACCUUUCCAGACCUUGGGAUUUUUUUCUAUCUUGAUCUAGUUAUAUUAGAAUUUUCAUUGUUUAACCAGUGGGCAUAUUAUACAGGACACACUAAGUCAGUCUUCUGCUGAACAGUAUUAAGGCUGCCAACGAAAGAGAGGUAAUAUGCACAAAACUACUGUUCAGAGCACUAUAGUUCUAAGCCACAUACAUGAGAUUUUCUUCCGUGU
rnacentral:lncRNA from 1 species